CCUGCACAGUUAACUUAAUUGCAGCUUCAGGGGUCAGUUCAUUCAUUCCACCUUCCCGGGGCUCUGGAGCCGGUAUGCUGUGUGUAACUUCCAGGUGAUCUUUAGCCCCUUUGCCACCAGCUGCACCACCUGAGCCAUGAAUGCUGGCCCAUUACCUGAUCCCACAGUGACAGGGAUCCCAAAUCGAGUUCUUGAUAAGCAGUCAACUGAGAAGACAACUCCUAAAAUGAGCAUAGUACAUCACAGAUAACUAUCAUGACUGAGCCUACUAAAAGAUCCCCUAAGAGCUGUCAGGUGCAUCCUUGGAAACAUCAUUGCUUUUGUUUUCAUCAGUUCACAUAUUCCUGACACUUCCCCAAUGCUUGUCAAGAUAAUUAAUAUUUGAAGUGGAAGAAAUAGG